UAAUUUUUUCCAAGAGAUAAAAAUUCUUAAGUAACGUUUAAUUUUUUUUCUUUUUUCUUUUUUUUUUAAAGAUCGAAAUCUUUGAGAAUAUUAGAUGACGAAGAUGCUUUCGAGGGUACAUAAAAUGUGUACUCAAACUUAGACUUUAAUGCAAUCUUUCCUGAACGUUCCACGUUCCAUUACAAACAAAGUGGUUCUCGCGGGCUACUGCGAACCAAUUAAUUUUCCCCGCUAUAUUCGAAACGCGUUUCGGAUCGUCGUACCAUUGUAUUCUAGACAUCGGGCGAAUUACCUAUUCAACCAUUGUAUCUCAGACGCAAAUAGAACGUUCCGGGUUAUCUCGUGAAAUCUAUCGAACAAUAUUCCUCGAAAAGUACUUACGUCUCGGCGAAUACGCAAUUAAAUUCUUAACAAAAAUAUAUACAUAUAUAUAUAUAUCUUCGUCGUAAUCUCGACGAACGUGGAAUGAUGUACGCGUGCGAAAACCGCAUAUGUACUUUGCAACAUGAUGCUACAAUAAAAGAGUCUUACGUAAUAACGACGAUUACACGAGAGCUACCAGGACCUUCUUGCGUAAACCGCUUACGUGUUACCGGUUGGAAAAAUUCUCCUGUACGGUUUAAGACACACAACCGGGUGAAUUUUAUUGCCGACAUAACUUCGCUACAAUCCCCUUACUUUAUCACACCGGAUCACACCGAAAAACGACCCUACUCCUUUUCUUUACCUUCGCUCUUUCGUCUGUUCCAAUUGUAGGUAGAUACGUAUGUAUGUAUGUAUAUGUCUCUCUCGAGUCGCUGUGUUUCACGAGCAAGCGUUUUCUUCCUAAGAAAAGAAAUUCUUCCAAAGCUUCACUUCCAGGAAAACACGUUACGUAGCUAUUUUAUCUCAGUCAGUUCGAACAUACGCUCGCCUCGCGCCGCUAGUACGUAAUUCUUUGCAUGCUUCUCCGGUUGCAACGGUUUUUUUCCGAGGAAAUGGUAAACUUCGAGGGAAGUGGCGAUUUUCCUUUUUCCCCGACCCGAUCUUCUCGAUAUUUCUUGAUAUUCGGAUUUUGAGAUUAUCGUGGAAAAUAAUUUUAACAAUGAUCAGAUUUAAUUUCUUCUGAUUCAUAUAAUUAUUUCAGAUUCGAAAAAUAAGUACAUAAAAUAAAAUAUGUAAUACAAAUAGAAAAGAGUCUUUGGAAAGUGCACAAUUUCUUUUUUACGAAAUAUCAAAAUUUUAAAAGCUCUAUUACACUAGGUAUUUAAACUUCCUUCCCACGUAUCGUAAAAUUGUCUUGUCCUCCAGUCAACACGUUCAACGAUCGAGAAACGAAGCUAAUCCUAAGAAAAUAAAAUUCCCCUCUACAAAUCCCUCGAAAUCGAAUCAAACCGGGCAACGUUCGCCCUCACAAUUUCCUAUCCGAACGAUCCACGAAAUAAUCCGACGCGUACGUUCCAAGCAGAACCAAGAUUCUCCGUGUAUUUGGCCUUCUUCUAACCUCGACGCUCGGGCGAAACCAAAUUUUCCCCAGGGAGUGCAGCUUUAUCCAAUAUAUUGCACGAGAUUGCAUUCAAAACCAAAGUGAUUACCAGGGCGAUGAGAACGCACGGAUACAUGCAAUGCCUAUAUGCCUAUAUAGAGACUAUAGAGGAGAGAGACCUAAGACGUAUACCCACACACGAAGACACCAUAAUCAUCAGGAUUUAUGCGCAAGUGCCGUUUCUACGGUGAGUGCGAGACUCCGUGAAAGUUCCAUCGGCCCGUGAAAAAAUCGACAAAGAUAUUUCGAAUUCACUGGGCAAAUAGCUAUCGAGUACGAGGUAUAACGGCAUUAUCCUCUUAGCCGUAGGUUCAACACGGUAUCACAUUAUGCGUUAACUUUCAUUGAUGUGUGCAGGUGCGUGCAUAAAGAGAACUAACCUCUCACCGAUUCUAUGUAUCUCCCUCUUUCUCUCUCUGUCACUUUGACUCUUUUCAUCUCGUGUUGGCGCAUGUUUCAUACGCAUGCCCUCCCUCUUUCUCACUCUUUCUCUCUCGCUCCUUUAUCCCCCAGAUUCGUCGCGGUCCAGUCCUACGCGGUGCGUUAAUUUACACGUACACACGUGCGCAACAACUUGCAACCGAGGUUUGGACAUUUCGAAGGUAAACGUUAAUGCGUGCAAAUUAACCGAAAUUCGUAUUCGCACGCACGGAUAAAUCUGGUGCUAGUCGCGUCGUUCUCGCGAAAACAUGGCGGAUGCUUCGAUCGAAAUUGUGUUUUCACUCGGUCGGAAAUGUGGCGUUAGUAUCACGAAGUAUGUGUUGAAAAUUGUAAUCUAACCUAUUAUUUAUCUAAAAUCGCAUCUCUAUGUUACAAAAGUUAUUGAUUUGAAAUAUAUUUAUACAAUAUUUAGUAUUUCAUACGAUCAAUUAAUGUUCUACGACGAAACGAUCCGAAAUUUUAGGUUAAUGUCGUUUUCGUAAAGUGAAAAAGUUUACUUUUUUUGCGAUUCUAUGCGAUUUAAUGAAAUUUCUUGAUUUCGCGAAUGAACGUUGAAGUGAAAUUUGCAUUAGGAAAUGAUAAAGUUUGCUUCUCUAACGAAAUAGUCAGUGCUUUUGAAAGUUUCGUAUAAUCGAAGAACGAAUGUGCAGAGGAAAUAGUAACCCUCCACUGGGUAGGGUUACGAACACAAAAUGACUCGUACCUAUUGUUUUCAAGCGUCAUGCUUAUUUGAUUGAUUACAGCAUAAAUGUCUGAAACUUUGUAUUCAUAUAUGUACGUAUGUAUACACAAUGGAAUUACUUUUUACUUUUUAGAAUCAUUUUGUUGUAUACAUUCCACAUUAAGCAUUGAAAUUCCGCGUAGAAUUGAAAAUUGAAUUUAAUAUAUUAUAGUGCUCUAUAGUUUCGUUAUAUGAAAUUUGUGUAAAUUUUGCGAUAGAUUUAAUUGAUAUUAAUGCAAAAUAUGGUUUAAAAUUUAAUCAUCUAUAAAAUAUGUACGGUUGAGAAACGCAAUUUAGUAGAAUUUGGCAGAAAUAAAUUCGUACGCGUAUAUAAUAAAUACAAAGCUGUGGAUAAAAUCAUUUUGAAUAUAUAUUGGCGAAGAAAUUUUUUAUCCCGUUCAAAUAAAAAAAUCAACAGAGAUGUUUCUAUACAUUCUGAUGAAAAUAAAAAUGCAAAACCAUCCCGCUUUAAAUUGAUUAUCGAACGUGAACAUACUAACGAAAAGGCAAGAAGCGUUACAAAAUUAAUUUCCAUUUUAUAUACGUCCUCGCCGAAGUAGAAAAUUAAUUCUUUCAUUGCGCUCGCCACAUUUUCCAAAGAGUAGAUCUCUAACGCAUCCAGACUGUUAUAAAAAAAA